UACGGGGGGAGCAAGCGUUGUUCGGAUUUACUGGGCGUCAAGGGCGCGUAGGCGGCCACCGCAAGUCAGUUGUGAAAUCUCUGGGCUUAACCCAGAAAGGUCAACUGAUACUGCGGGGCUAGAGUGCAGAAGGGGCAACUGGAAUUCUCGGUGUAGCGGUGAAAUGCGUAGAUAUCGAGAGGAACACCUGCGGCGAAGGCGGGUUGCUGGGCUGACACUGACGCUGAAGCGCGAAAGCUAGGGGAGCGAACGGG
rnacentral:rRNA from 1 species